UUCCUUCCCCACCGCUGUGCUCCCCUCUCCCCAUAGACGCCUCCUACCCUCUGACGCCGCCCCGCGCGAUGGACGCCAUCUCUCCCCUAUUUCCCUCUUCACCUCCACGGCCACGCCGCAUCGCCGGCCAAGCCCCGCUGCGGUGGCUAUGAUCCGCCACGCCACCCCAUAGCCCCACACCCAAAGCUGCAGCCGAGAUGCAUCUGAGCGAGAACGAGGGGAUUGAGGGCGUGCGGUUCGCAAUGACUGUCGGGCAGGGCUUCGUCGGUGCCUAUGCCUGGAGCUGAUCCGCCGCGGCGCCCUGGAGGUCUGCUCCCUCGACAGCUCGACCUGCGCGAUUCCUCCGCUUGGUCCCAGCAGCUCCUCGACGCCGGCGUCCGCUUCUUACAAGGUUCUCUCCCUCACUCUCUUUUGCUUAAAUUAUUGUGUUUUUUUUCUGUCGCCAUGAGUGGGCGUGAGACUUAAAUGCAGCGUCGCAGCGAAGAAGGUAAUUUGUUUUUCUGUCCAAUGCAUUGAAGCUAUAAUGUACGUGCUUAGUAAAUUGUUUAGGGCGGUGUGAGACUUAUAAUGCCUGCCAACUUAGUGAAUUGAUAAACCUGGAAGUUUGUGUUUUUCACUUCACUUGAAUUUGCACAAUUCAGUUAUGUGUUCAUUGAAUGGAUUUGACAUGACAUUUCCUGCAAGCAAUGAGGGAAGUAGAUGGGCAUGGCUGAUCUGUUCGUCAUGCAGUUAUGUGCUAUCUUAUUCCUUGAUGCUGAGUGUGAGUCCAUGCAUGUGCAAGCUAUAUGUACUCUUAGUCUAUUAGUGUUCUCUAACUUAUUUCCUACUAUUCCUGUAUGGUACCACUUCUUCCCUAGCAAGGAUAUGUGAGCCUAUUAACCUUAUGUUGUCUGUCAAUGUCAGAUUUAGAACCCAACAAAGAAAUAUGGCAGAAAUUUGCAUAUUAACCUUUCUUGUGCAGGUUCGAGAUAUAAAGGUCAUAUAGGUGCUUCUUUGCCAUGAGUCUGUAAACUUGAUGAGGCAACAUGGUCUUCAAGCACAAGAAAUACCCAUGUACGUGAGUGUGGGCUGCCGCUCCGCCCUCCACUCCUCUGCUUGACCACCGCCACCGCCAUGUUGAAGCCCCUUGCCACCUAGCGGCAUGCUUUCUCGAGGAUCAGCAGCUAAUGGCAAACGCGCCAGCGAGCCCCGAGUGCGCUGGACCGUGCAACAUGAAGAAGACCAUCUGGACAAAGGGCAGGUACACGAUAGCCAAGAACACAAGGAUACGUGCGGGUCUGCAUUUCUGAGAAUAUAUUGAACUUUGAACUGGAUUUCAGUCAAUCAAAAACCAUCGGAUGCAUUGGCACACACAUAUGGGCAAGAUUAAGCUGAAUUAGAAAAGAGCGGUGCAUACACUGAAUCAGAUUUCAGAACACCAAAUACAGCCGGUUUCAGUCAAAUGGUUGAUCUCGACAAGACAAAGACUGAAUUGGAUGGGGAGCUCAACAGUACAGGCCUUAGCCCCAAUCGUCGGCGCACUGGUUGGGCUCGCUGGGCGCCGGCACAGGACUGGAGACACCUGGGCGCGAAGACCACGCCGAGCGGUGCACGAGGCCGCACAGCUGCGCAUACUACAGAUCAACGCCGUCGCUCGCGGCCAUCCAGCGCGGCCGUCUCGUGAUGCAUGAGGCCAUGCAGGAGCUGCUCGUGCACUCUGGUACAAAUCUACGCCGCUGCCCUCCUCCAUUAGCCGCCGUCUCUUGGUGCCCGCCGUCGCUCGCCUCCAUCCAGCGCCGUCUUUCGGUGCCCGCCGUCGCUCGCCUCCAUCCAGCGCCGUCUCUCGGUGCCCGCCGUUGUUCUCCUCCCUCCAACGCCGCCUAUUGCUACCCGCCGCCACUCGUGUCGAGAGAGGGAGAGGCGAUAGAGUUGCGGGAGUGUGAGGAGAACGACCGGUUUCAUGUGGUCCGCUCGAUUUGGAAGUACGAGCGCGUUCCGCAUCUGAGAGGAAUAUUCGGUUCGUGGGAACUAGUCGGUUACCGUUCCAGCUCUAUGCCAAACAUCAGAACGGGCCUAGAAACGGGUCCGACCCAUAACAUUUCAGUUGAUGACUGCAACCAAACACAUCCUUAGUGACGGAGACUUGCCUGAAUGUUAUUUUCCUCCGCGUGAAGUGCUUACAAUUCUCAAAGGCUUCAACAAGUCCCGGAGGAGAUUGACAAGGUGCAGGCAAGAUCUCAAGUUCAUUGCUGUCUUUUUCUGUCUGAACAUUUUCUUAUUUGGAGUUGCAGCCGAUUUAUGGUGUAUCAACCGACUUGGCUUAGGAUGUAUUGUAGUUAGUUUGGUUGCAUCAAUCAACAAGUCUUAUUAUGUAUUGCUAUUGGUUUGGUACCAUCAAACGACUGGCCAGUUGGAAAACCAGCGGGGAAAACAUGUACUGUAAGCUCCCCUCGCAUUUAUAAUUUGGAGCUUGAUAAACAAUGUUCUGUGAGCUUGUUAAUGAUCUGCUAUUUUUCACAAAAUUGGGACAUGUCUGAUGGUCGAUGUGAGGUUCUCUAAAUAAAAAAAUUCCUCAUUUGUCCAUUCUGACAGUCUGAUGGAAUUUUGUUAAUAAGAACCUACAGUUCCUUGGGUAAGUUUGGGUUAGGAGUUCCGUAUAUAUGCGCCAGGAAAGUAUAUAGGGAAAUCAUGAUAUGCUUUUUCUACAGUGCCAACACUGAAAAUGUAAAGUGUGUCAUGCAUGACUUUUAUAUGUGUUUUAGGAAUUGGAGGAUAGCUCUAUAAACAAAAUUUCUUAUUCUGCACUUCUCUGCUUUGCUUGGCAGGAAUCCUUGUUGUAAAGAGUGAAGGCAUGGUUUGGUUUGCAUGACAUUAUCUUCAAUUGGCUGGAGAUAUAUAAAUGUUGAUACUUGAUUUUCUCAUCUGGCAUCUUAUCACUUUUGUGAAACACACUUGAUUUUCUCAUAGUAAUAGUUCUUUAUUAUUGCUGAUACAUAAAUGGAUCUUUAUUCAAUGGUACUUGUAUGUGUGUAUGGAGA